ACCCAUCCACAUUGGGAAGCCAGAAUUACUUGCAGGAGUAACCUAGUGCCUAUAGCUAUGGCAGGUACCUGCAUCCUUGUUUUUGUUUAGUGGAUCCUCUAUCCUUCAGAGACUCUGGAACCCCUGUGCUCUUCUCCUCAUCUAGUGACCCUGAGGUGAUGGAGUUUUCAAGUCCUUCCAGAGAGGAAUGUCCCAAGCCUUCGGGUAGGGUAAGCAUCAUGGCUGGCAGCCUCACAGGAUUGCUUCUACUUCAGGCAGUGUCGUGGGCAUCAGAUGAGUGCCUUCAGCCGCUACAAGAGCAGAAGCAGUGGGCAUUGGAUGGAGCUGAGUACAGGACCAUACAGGCUAAUUGCACCGGCACAGGAAUCGGAUAUAACAUCAUCUGGGUACCCAUGGCCAGCUGUGACUUCUCCAUCCGCACCUACACCUAUGCAGACACCCCUGAUGAUUUCCAGUUGCACAACUUCAGCCUCCCAGAGGAAGAUACCAAGCUCAAGAUACCCCUGAUUCACCGAGCCCUGCAGUUGGCCCAGCGUCCCGUUUCACUCCUUGCCAGCCCCUGGACAUCACCCACUCGGCUCAAGACCAGGGGAGCGGGGAAUGGGAAGGGGCCACUCAAGGGACAGCCCAGAGACAUCUACCACCAGACCUGGGCCAGAUACAUUGUGAAGUUCCUGGAUGCCUAUGCUGAGCACAAGUUACAGUUCUGGGCAGUGACAGCUGAAAAUGAGCCUUCUGCUGGGCUGUUGAGUGGAUACCCCUUCCAGUGCCUGGGCUUCACCCCUGAACAUCAGCGAGACUUCAUUGCCCGUGACCUAGGUCCUACCCUUGCCAACGGUACUCACCACAAUGUCCGCCUACUCAUGCUGGAUGACCAACGCUUGCUGCUGCCCCACUGGGCAAAGGUGGUACUGACAGACCCAGAAGCAGCUAAGUAUGUUCAUGGUAUUGCUGUACAUUGGUACCUGGACUUUCUGGCUCCAGCCAAAGCCACCCUAAGGGAGACACACCACCUGUUCCCCAACACCAUGCUCUUUGCCUCAGAGGCCUGUGUGGGUUCCAAGUUCUGGGAGCAGAGUGUGCGGCUAGGCUCCUGGGAUCGAGGGAUGCAGUACAGCCACAGCAUCAUCACAGUCUGCACACCUCAUUGCCCCUUUUGCAACUACUGAGGCACUUGCAGCUGCCUCAGACUUCUCAGCUCCCCUUGAGAUGCCUGGAUCUUCACACCCCCAACUCCUUAGCUACUAAGGAAUGUGCCCCUCACAGGGCUGACCUACCCACAGCUGCCUCUCCCACACGUGACCCUUACCUACACUCUCUGGGGACCCCCAGUGUUGCGCCUUUGUCUCCUUGCCUUUGUCCUUACCCUAGAACCUCCUGUACCAUGUGGUCGGCUGGACCGACUGGAACCCAUCAUUGUAGACAUCACCAAGCACACGUUUUACAAACAGCCCAUGUUCUACCACCUUGGCCACUUCAGCAAGUUCAUUCCUGAGGGCUCCCAGAGAGUGGGGCUGGUUGCCAGUCAGAAGAACGACCCGGACGCAGUGGCACUGAUGCAUCCCGAUGGCUCUGCUGUUGUGGUCGUGCUAAACCGCUCCUCUAAGGAUGUGCCUCUUACCAUCAAGGAUCCUGCUGUGGGCUUCCUGGAGACAAUCUCACCUGGCUACUCCAUUCACACCUACCUGUGGCGUCGCCAGUGAUGGAGCAGAUACUCAAGGAGGCACUGGGCUCAGCCUGGGCAUUAAAGGGACAGAGUCAGCUCACACGCUGUCUGUGACUAAAGAGGGCACAGCAGGGCCAGUGUGAGCUUACAGCGACGUAAGCCCAGGGGCAAUGGUUUGGGUGACUCACUUUCCCCUCUAGGUGGUGCCAGGGGCUGGAGGCCCCUAGAAAAAGAUCAGUAAGCCCCAGUGUCCCCCCAGCCCCCAUGCUUAUGUGAACAUGCGCUGUGUGCUGCUUGCUUUGGAAACUGGGCCUGGGUCCAGGCCUAGGGUGAGCUCACUGUCCGUACAAACACAAGAUCAGGGCUGAGGGUAAGGAAAAGAAGAGACUAGGAAAGCUGGGCCCAAAACUGGAGACUGUUUGUCUUUCCUGGAGAUGCAGAACUGGGCCCGUGGAGCAGCAGUGUCAGCAUCAGGGCGGAAGCCUUAAAGCAGCAGCGGGUGUGCCCAGGCACCCAGAUGAUUCCUAUGGCACCAGCCAGGAAAAAUGGCAGCUCUUAAAGGAGAAAAUGUUUGAGCCCAGUCA
ensembl:lncRNA GBA1LP glucosylceramidase beta 1 like, pseudogene